rnacentral:lncRNA from 1 species
AUGUCACUUGCCCACAUGGCGCUCCGUCUCCGGGCUGCAGGGCUGGGCUUGGCCGAAGACGGAUGGAUGCCCCCGCCGCGUCUAGACCUGGCCCAGCAGAGUCUCCACAGUGAUCGCCCGUGCUCCACCCUGCUGUGGGCGGCUGGCAGGGGAGGACUCACCGAGGUUCUGCCAGAUUCUGCAGCCUCAGAGGAAGGGGCCCUGGCCCUGAACCACCUCCUCGGACUCGGGCCAGCCAGCAGCACGACACGGGAAGUGACCAAGAAUGAAAUGGUCCAUGCCGGGCAGCACUGGGCUUCUGCGCUCCGGCCACCCCUUCCGCUGGACGUUAAGCCCACAAAGCCCGACGCCCAGUCUUGCCCCGCCGCACCCCCACGCCCAGCAGCGUCCGGCAGAGCGGUGCCUGAAGCACAUCCCGAAUGAACCAAGACCUACGGAAGUGCCCUGCUGUGAAGCAUGUCUCCUGAACAAAUGAAGAGACACGUCCAUGUGAGCACACUGUUGAGAACUCUUGGACAAGUUCCCCGAAACAGCAGGUGUGAGCUUUCACGGGCACUCGUUGGUCCUGGGGAGCAUCACCAUCUGAUGCCCGGACACACGUGUCUGCAUGGCACCGCUGCCUGGGGAGGGUGGGACGGGUGGGAGCGUGGACACUGGGCGCCAUCACCACCCAAGGACACUAUCUCCUGACUCUUAGACUGGGAAUACUGGGAGGCGUGAGUGCAUGGAUGAGCAAAUAUCUGUAGUCUACACACACGUGCAUUUCAUUUUCGUUGGGAAACACAGAAAAUACAGCCUGCUCCCUUGUCUGCCGUGACCCACUCUGGAACUGGGGCAUUUGGUGCUAAUCUGAAUAGAGUCACCCAGGCAGAGUAGUCAAGGUUGCUGCUACUGUCAUACAGACCCUGGCAAGCUGUGUGACCUCAGACAAAUCACUCACCUGCUCUGAACCUCAGGAUUCCUGCCUGCACGGCAAGGGCAGUAUUAGCCACGAAGGCAUGCUCUGAGGAUGAAAGGCCCCCACAGAUGUGUUCAGCACAGACUCAUGCUGAGAAAAGUGCUAAAUGCACCUGUAUUGUAAUGGGAUGGUUAGAGAGCAUCACUGACUCAAUGGACAAGAAUUUGAGCAGACUUCAGGAGAUCGUGGAGGCCUGGUGUGCUGCAGUCCAUGGGGUCGCAAAGAGCUGGACACGACUGAGCGACUGAACAACUGUUAUUACGAACAACUUGGAAUUCUACAGUAUAAAAAUUAAACUGCAGGUCUGACCUAACUCACGGCCACCGAAGAGGCCUGACCUGCAGGGCAAGGCCUCUGAGAUGUGCUCAGUCCACCCUGGGGUCAUGAGGAUGAGACUCAACUUUCUAAAACACCCAGGAAUGGGCCUCGUGUUCGGGUACAAAGGAGAAGCUUUAAGCCCAGUGGCAUCGCAGGGGACUACCAACUUAAGAAAGACGAUACGGAAUGGGAAGGUUAUUCUAAAUGAGGACUCCUUAAAAAUUCUGGGAAGAUGGUCACUAUCGAUGAUUCUAACCUCAUGGGGAAAAAGCAUUCAGAACUCGGAAACCUGGAACAUCUAGAACUCUGGAAGCUGUAUGAAGCCCUUACCAUUUCAUUUCCUGUUUCUCAGGGAUGGUGCGAGGUUCUUGUCUUUGAGAAAAGCCUAGACAAGGGGUGUGUGUGGGAAAGUUGGGGGCGGGGGCGGGGCGUCAGCUCUAAAACAAGAGAGGGCAGAGUGUGGGCUAGGAGACGUGGUCCUUAAUUUUAGGACCAGGACAACCUGUUAGCCCAGACAGCUUAAUGUAUGCAGGAAUCUUCCAAAACAGGACAAUUUUACUAAGGCUCUGAAAAUCUCCAGUUCUGAAGCAGUUAAAACAACUAAAAACUGAA